AGGCUGCAACUCGCCUACACGAAGUCGGAAUCGCUAGUAAUCGCGGAUCAGCAUGCCGCGGUGAAUACGUUCCCGGGCCUUGUACACACCGCCCGUCCACACCAUGGGAGUUUGUAACGCCCAAAGUCGGUGGCCUAACCUUUAUGGAGGGAGCCGCCUAAGGCGGGACAGAUGACUGGGGUGAAGUCGUAACAAGGUACC
rnacentral:rRNA from 1 species